UACGUAGGGUGCAAGCGUUGUCCGGAAUUAUUGGGCGUAAAGAGCUCGUAGGCGGUCUGUCGCGUCUGCUGUGAAAACUCGGGGCUUAACCCCGGGCCUGCAGUGGGUACGGGCAGACUAGAGUGCGGUAGGGGAGAUUGGAAUUCCUGGUGUAGCGGUGAAAUGCGCAGAUAUCAGGAGGAACACCGGUGGCGAAGGCGGGUCUCUGGGCAGUAACUGACGCUGAGGAGCGAAAGCGUGGGGAGCGAACAGG
rnacentral:rRNA from 1 species